GUGUGCCUCAGAGUCUUACCCCACCCACGUAUCAAUUUUAAAAACUGCAACAUUAGUAGGCGUUGCCUGGAGGACCGAGAGGGCGGAGCCGCGGCAGUGACGAAGAGACGGCUAACUAGACGAAGCUAGCUCCCUUCACUCUGAGCAGUCAUUAGAAGUGGAGGACGUUUCUCCCCCUCCUUACCCAGACACUCGAGAAGAAAGGGACCAAGUCUAUUUGGAGGAGACAAGCGGACAUGAGCCUUAUUGUUUUGAGCUUGUGAGUUGCCUGAAAUUACUGGAACCGACCCAACAGACCCAUCUCUGAACGUGAUCCUCUGGUGUCUGCAGCUGAUCUCCUGCUGAUGUCGUCGGGAUCAGGAGCUUCCAGAAGAAUGUGCCUUUCAAUGACUCUUUCCCCCUUAUUUGUUAUAUUAAUUAAAUAAAUCUCAAUUUAUAUAUUUCCUGUUUUUGUUCAUGUCCAUAAAUACUUAAACAUGCUUGAAAUUAAAACGAGCUUUUAA